GUGUGUGUGGUGGAAUGGCAGUGUAUUGUUAGCUGGAUGAGUAUCUCAAUGCCCCCAGCUGACAUUCAGCUGCCAAUCUACGGCACAUAUU
rnacentral:pre_miRNA from 11 species